AUUGCUUUCCCAUUUGCUUUCUCAUUCAUAAUUGGAACAAUACAGAGAAGAUUAGCAUGGCCCCUGUGCAAGGAUGACAUGCUUUCUCAUAUAUAUAUGUACAUAUAU
ensembl:snRNA U6 U6 spliceosomal RNA